GGGUGUGUAGCUCAGUGGACUAGAGCACGUGGCUACGAACCACGGUGUCGGGGGUUCGAAUCCCUCCUCGCCCG
rnacentral:ncRNA from 17 species